GUUUAUAUAGUGGGCAUGACCUGCUGGUGCAUGGAAUACCCCUUUGGCUAGUUUAGGUCAGGUGUCCUGUUUUUGCUUCCUCCUGGUUUCUUGUGUCCAUCCUCACUGGAAGAGUAUGUGAGACUGAAAAGUCCUUGAU